rnacentral:rRNA from 1 species
AGCGUAGACGGUGUGGCAAGUCUGAUGUGAAAGGCAUGGGCUCAACCUGUGGACUGCAUUGGAAACUGUCAUACUUGAGUGCCGGAGGGGUAAGCGGAAUUCCUAGUGUAGCGGUGAAAUGCGUAGAUAUUAGGAGGGACACCAGUGGCGAAGGCGGCUUACUGGACGGUAACUGACGUUGAGGCUCGAAAGCGUGGGAGCAAACA